UCUCCGGCACCGGUUGCUCGCGAUACGCCCCUGUGUCCGCCGCUCUGGAACCCUCCCCUGCAUUCCUUUUCUUUGUUUCGCUUCGCCCUCUGCUUCGAUCUUUUCCCGUUCUUGUUCCGUUUUCUGACGCAGAUUCCUUUUCGUGUUCUUUCUUUGUUCCAUGUUCUUGUUUGAUCUUGUGACGUAGGGUCGUUGGUCUGUUUUUUAUUGUUCUUUUUCGAAUCUUUUUUUGUUCCGACGCAGAUUCUUUUUCGUGUUCUUUCUUUGUUCCAUAUACUUGUUCGAUCUUGUGACGCAGGGUCGUUGGCCCGAUUUUUCUUGUUCUUGUUCGAAUCUUUUGGCGCAGAUUUCUCUUCCUGUUCUUUCUGCUUCUUGUUCGAUCUUUGACGCAGGUCCUUCUCGUGAUUUAUUCCUGUUCUAUUCGACCAUUUGGCGCAGAUUCUAAGGUCCCGCAGAUCGGAAGAGACGGCGAGGUUCUUGAGGGAUUCAGAUGGCGGUGGCGUCGAGGCUGGUUCUUGAUGGGAACCCGAUCAGGCCAGCCACGAUCUGUUUGAUCGGGGCCGGGAGUUCAUCGGAUCCCACCUAUGCGAGAAACUGAUGGCUGUGACGCUCCACAGCGACAAGAUCAAGCAACUCCUCGGUCCGCCGCCAGUGGGGUAGCGGUAGGCGCGCACCACCCUUGGGACUUCCAGAUCCACUUCCACCGCCUCUUCAUCAAGCACGUCUCCAUCUGGUUUUCCUUCCCCUUUUCAAGAUCCUGUUUCGGAUACCCUGCAUUGCCUCCAUGUCCCGCUCUACCAUUUGAUCUUUUCUUAGUGAACUAUUCCCUUUCUCGACGCGUCGUCUAAUUCUUUGAGCGGAUCCGCAUUCCUGUCACCGUGUUUUCUUUGUUGCACGAGAAAUCCAAUCUUGAAUUAGUUCUUGUGCACAACUUCUUUUCCCAUAGAGAUGACCAACGUAACUAACUGCAUUGACGCUCGUCCAGUUGGAAGCUGUCAUGUAUUGCUUAGAUAGCGACAAGCGCCUGAUUCGCUUCACCACUUGUGAAGUCUAUGGGACAGAAACUGGAAGCCUCCUUUCCAAGGAUCACCCUCUAAGAAAGACCAUCUAAAGCUGAGGGUGCAGAGCAUUGUCUGGAGUUCACCAUUGUGAGCCAUGGCAAGGGAUUUCCUAGAAUUUGGCAUGAUUCAGCAAUGUACGUAUCGAAGCUUUUCUUUGUUCAAGGAGAGAAUAUAGUUAUCCUGUCUGGAGUUAAUGGUUUUAAUGGUGAUCAGUAUAAAGAAACAUUUAUCUUCAUCAAGGAUGCCAUAGAAGCUGUUGUCCUUACGAUCAUUGUGUGUAUUUUUCUGUUUCAUUCUUAUUGUCUGGUUGUAAUGACAUAAACAAAGCUGUUAUCGUAUCUCUUGGGAAUACCACAUCCAUGACGUGGAAAAUGCCGACAAUGAAGUCACUGUAGAGCAACUUGCUGAAUCAUGACAUAGGUUUAUGUUGGUACACCUUUGCCAUGGGACCUAAUGCAG